rnacentral:rRNA from 1 species
GACGAACGCUGGCGGCGUGCCUAAUACAUGCAAGUCGAACGGGAGCGACCGGUGCUUGCACUGGUCAAUCUAGUGGCGAACGGGUGAGUAACACGUGGGUAACCUGCCCAUCAGAGGGGGAUAACAUUCGGAAACGGAUGCUAAAACCGCAUAGGUCUUCGAACCGCAUGGUUUGAAGAGGAAAAGAGGCGCAAGCUUCUGCUGAUGGAUGGACCCGCGGUGCAUUAGCUAGUUGGUGAGGUAACGGCUCACCAAGGCCGUGAUGCAUAGCCGACCUGAGAGGGUGAUCGGCCACAUUGGGACUGAGACACGGCCCAAACUCCUACGGGAGGCAGCAGUAGGGAAUCUUCCGCAAUGGACGCAAGUCUGACGGAGCAACGCCGCGUGAGUGAAGAAGGUUUUCGGAUCGUAAAACUCUGUUGUUAGAGAAGAAUAAGUGCUAGAGUAACUGUUAGCGCCUUGACGGUAGCUAACCAGAAAGCCACGGCUAACUACGUG